UACGUAGGGGGGCAAGCGUUGUUCGGAAUUACUGGGCGUAAAGGGCUCGUAGGCGGCCAACUAAGUCAGACGUGAAAUCCCUCGGCUUAACCGGGGAACUGCGUCUGAUACUGGUUGGCUUGAAUCCGGGAGAGGGAUGUGGAAUUCCAGGUGUAGCGGUGAAAUGCGUAGAUAUCUGGAGGAACACCGGUGGCGAAGGCGGCAUCCUGGACCGGUAUUGACGCUGAGGAGCGAAAGCCAGGGGAGCAAACGGG
rnacentral:rRNA from 1 species